rnacentral:rRNA from 1 species
CAAUAGCGUAUAUUAAAGUUGUUGCAGUUAAAAGGCUCGUAGUUGGAUUUGUGGUGUACUUCGGCGGCCCGUCACUAUGUGAUGGAGCUUGCUGAAGUCGCCAUCCUUGGGUGGAUCCUGUGUGGCAUUAAGUUGUCGUGCAGGGGAUGCCCAUCGUUUACUGUGAAAAAAUUAGAGUGUUCAAAGCAGGCUUAUGCCGUUGAAUAUGUUAGCAUGGAAUAAUAAGAUAGGACCUUGGUACUAUUUUGUUGGUUUGCGCACCAAGGUAAUGAUUAAUAGGGACAGUUGGGGGUAUUCGUAUUUCAUUGUCAGAGGUGAAAUUCUUGGAUUUUUGAAAGACGAACUACUGCGAAAGCAUUUACCAAGGAUGUUUUCAUUAA